rnacentral:misc_RNA from 1 species
UACGGAGGGUGAGAGCGUUAAUCGGAAUUACUGGGCGUACAGCGCGCGGAUGCGGCGUGCUAAGCCGGUUGUGAAAGCCCCGGGCUCAACCUGGGAACGGCAUCCGGAACUGUCAGGCUAGAGGGCAGGAGAGGAAGGUAGAAUUCCCGGUGUAGCGGUGAAAUGCGUAGAGAUCGGGAGGAAUAUCAGUGGCGAAGGCGGCCUUCUGGACUGACACUGACGCUGAGGUGCGAAAGCGUGGGUAGCAAACAGG